GUUCUGCUGUUAGAGCUUUCUAAAGCGAUGCUUUUUAUGGCUAAGCGAAAGGUAAAUCCGAUGGUCCUGUGUACAAAGAAAACUCCUGGCAUGUGUGUGUCACAAGAAAUUUAGGAAGCCCCACUACUCGCUCCUGGUCCACCAAAAAUGAAGUCGUCUGCGGGCAAAACCAUAUGUGUUGCAGAAAUCGGGCGAAUACCACUACUCACUUCUAAAAAUGAAAAAGAGAAUGUACGUGCAGCACACACCAAUUAAUAUUUCUGUUAUCUUGUUAAUUGAGAAAGACAAUAUUGAUUGAUUGGGAUUAACCCCAUGACAAACACCGGGGCAGCGCAUUUCACCUUCACUGGUUAACUGUACGGGGUGCUUGGGCAUCAAUUUUUUGUUUGUAAUUUCACAUUUGACUUGUAGUUCCGGAGCACUGUUACUAGGGUCUUUUAGCCUGUACGUAUACUUUUUAACGUUACCGUGUUACCGGAAUACUGGAUUGCAUUUACCGUGUUACCGGAACGCAUGUUUUAGAAAAGUUUUAGCUCGCCAUACGUAAACGUUUACGUACGUACGUAAACGUAUACCUUCACGUUUGCGCAAACACUAAAUGGUGAUGAUAAAUGCAUUUAAAAUACAUUUAAGUUAGAUAAUAUUGAAUUACGCUGCGGCAAAAUCAUACGAGAGGUUUUUAGCAUGUGCAGUAUCCCAGUAUAUGCAAAGGAAUGUAGCAAUACUGGGUUACCGGACGAUGGUGUCGACAGCUUGUGAAACUUCGUGCAACCACAGUUAUGGAAACGUUUGUUUUUGCUUAGUGUUUUUGAGGGAAAGAAUUAUUAAAAAGGCAACUCAUUCGUAAUUCUAUCGCUGCAAGGCAUUUACAUUGGCAGUGGAAUGCCCGCUGUUUCUGCAAUAACGAUUUUGUGCUUGCCUGGUUCACCGUGGUUCCGCUACAUGGCGCCACCUAUCCAGCCUGUCGGGCCUUUCGUGUUUAUGAAUUCGGUAUUGAAGGUUGCUGUAGCCUUGGUAAUCCGGCUGAAACAAGGUGAUCGUAAGUGGCGCUCGCACUUCGGCUUAUUUUUACUCGGUGGCUGGAGUCUCCGCAAAGCGCGCAUCGCGAUUAGCCACGAACGAAGGUGGAUUUGCGUGAUAGGGCCGUAAACGUAAAGCCUAUCCGGCGAGUAGUUUACGUUCAGUAAAGGUUCGCGCAUUCGCAGAUUCCAUCCGGUAUCCGGUAACACGGUAACAAAAAGAAGUAUACGUAUAAGCUAAAAGUCCCUACUGUGCUGAGCUACGUAGGGUAAUAAUCCUUUCAUUAGUUUCACUCACAUAGUUUCUUACAAUAAUACCUAGAGGGGAAUCUGGUGCUAGUGUCUACGCGCGCUCCUUGAGCAGCGCUUCAACCACCAUGGGAAUGAUGGGAAGUACAGGCUUCGGAUUUGCUUCGGAUGGAUUAGCUUCUUGAGAUUCGCGAUGCUUGUUUGCCGAGUGUAAAACAAAAUGAUAUGAAGUUAUUUCCCAUUAAAACUUGCUUCAUUCCUUUGUACGUAAAACUUAUUGCAAAAAGUUUGCUUUACCGUGAGAUGGAACUGAAACCUGGACAAAUUCAACCACUAGGGCAUGCAUUGCUCUGCAAUUGUGAUCCAGAUUUGGCAUCACAAUAUAAUGAAUCAUUUUCUUUACAACACUUAAAACAAAUGUGCUUGUCAUUCCCUCGAAAGUACGCAUUAUCUGUUUAUGGAAAUAACAGUACCGCAUUCAGUGAGAAACACUUAAAGUACCAUCUGCUGCGAUGCCAGAUGCAUCUGUCCAAGUGGCCUGCCCCCACGCAUCUCUCGUUUUGUUGUGAAGUCGAGUCAGAGGAGCGUGACAGUGUGUCUACUUUGCUUCGCCGUCGUUUUGCAGUCGAUUUGAAAGAGUUUUGAGAAGUAGCGCUUAUCACAAAACGUGAACUCUAUGCAAUUUCCUGCACUGGCAUGGGACGCUACAUCUAUGCACAGUGGUGAAUGCACGACGCUUUGCUAAAGCUUUCAAGAAAAUACGACCUGUAAAGCUGCAACGUGGCAGCAAACCAAGAAACCUAGCGGUCUUCAGCCUCUUUGAACAACAAAGCCAGUGCCUGUGUGCGUUGCAACGCACCCCACUGCCCACGCCUCGCAAAGAACGAAACUGAAACUGUAGAAAAAGAUCUGUAGACCGUCCGCUAGCUAACGAAAUCCAGUCCGAAGCCUGUACUUCCCAUCAUUCCCAUGGUGGUUGAACGAUCGCAGCGCCAGAUUCCUCUCUAGGUUAUUGUAUGAAACUCUAUGGUUUCACUAGAGCAUCAUUAUCCGUGCGGUAAAAUGUAGUCAAAACAUUGAAUUUCUCCUAAUGAUUCUUUACAGUGUUCUUUGUUGACCAGAUGAACGUUUGCUAUGUCAUAAGCUUAAAUAUUUGCAGUGGCUUAGUGGCUUAGCGGCUAUGCCAGGAUAUACGUAACGUUAGCAAAGGUUCAGCUGAUUAUUCUUAGCUUUUCAGAUUGUCUAGGAUUAUUGUAAUAUUACCUUGUACUGGUAUUACAUCUGAGAUCAUUCAUUCACUAAGUUAGCUUUCUGAGGACUUACGUAUGUCUUUGGUCAAUACCAACUGUUAGAUAUCUCACUAGCACAUUUAUUGACUGCUGUCUGUAUUAACAUUCUUGAAAAUUGGAUACUAUUUACAUGUCCACUAGAAAAGCUUAUUGUAUGUGGUUUUACAUGUAACAAUAAGAGGUUGUCUUUUUCACUUUUGGCUUACACUAGUAUUUUGACCAUGUUUUGUACUUGUGGGCUUUUCUGCUGCCUUUUUUUGAUUGCCUAUUAUUAUUAUGCUUUAGAUGUCUCAUAUUCCUCCUGCAUAUAAGCGUAUUCUUUCUGCAUAUUUCACGUAUGCCUCCUGCAUAUAACCAUUUUCUUGCAUCCGUUUAGCAUUUAACUAUUUGUAACUUGAUGUAAGUAUGUUUUAUUAGGCUCAAUAAAUUGCUCUGUUUUGUGAUUAUUA